AGAGUUUGAUCCUGGCUCAGAUCGAACGCUGGCGGCGUGGCUAAAACAUGCAAGUCGCACGGAAAGGCGGCUUCUGACCCUUCGGGUGACGAAGCUGUACUCGAGUGGCGAAAGGGCGAGGAAUACAUGGAUAACGUGCCUUUGGCAUGGGGACAGCUGAGGGAAACUUCAGGUAAUACCCAAUGAGACCACAGUGCUUUCGGGCACAGGGGUCAAAGAUGGGGCUCCUUCGGGACCUAUCGGCCAUAGAGCGGUCCAUGUCCUAUCAGCUUGUUGGUGAGGUAAUGGCUCACCAAGGCGACGACGGGUACCGGGACUGAGAGGUUGACCCGGCGCAUCGGGACUGAGACACUGCCCGGACUCCUACGGGAGGCUGCAGUAACGAAUAUUGGUCAAUGGGCGAAAGCCUGAACCAGCGACGCCGCGUGUGGGAGGAAGCCCUUCGGGGUGUAAACCACUGUCAGGGAUUACCAAGCAAUGGAGGCUAAUACCCUCCUGCGUUGAGGCGUCCCAGAGGAAGUCACGGCUAACUUCGUGCCAGCAGCCGCGGUAAUACGAAGGUGGCGAGCGUUGCUCGGAAUCACUGGGCUUAAAGAGCACGUAGGCGGACUGCCAAGCGUCUUGUGAAAUCCCCCGGCUCAACCGGGGAAUUGCUGGGCGAACUGGUAGUCUUGAGGCAAGUAGGGGCAGAUGGAACUCUUGGUGGAGCGGUGGAAUGCGUAGAUAUCAAGAGGAACGCCAGAGGCGAAGGCGAUCUGCUGGGCUUGACCUGACGCUGAGGUGCGAAAGCCAGGGGAGCAAACGGGAUUAGAUACCCCGGUAGUCCUGGCCAUAAACGAUGUCCACUAGAUCGGUGAACUUCUGACAGUGUGCCGGUCGAAACAAAAGCGUUAAGUGGACCGCCUGGGGAGUACGGUCGCAAGGCUAAAACUCAAAGGAAUUGACGGGGGCUCACACAAGCGGUGGAGCAUGUUGCUUAAUUCGAUGCAACGCGAAGAACCUUACCUGGGUUUGACAUGGAGGCGAAAGAUCCUGGAGACAGGAUCCCUUCCUUCGGGAACGCCUCACACAGGUGCUGCAUGGUUGUCGUCAGCUCGUGUCGUGAGAUGUUGGGUUAAGUCCCGCAACGAGCGCAACCCCUGUCCUUAGUUGCCAUCAGGUCAUGCUGGGAACUCUAAGGAGACUGCCUGGUUUAACCAGGAGGAAGGUGGGGAUGACGUCAAAUCAUCAUGGCCCUUACGCCCAGGGCUAGACACGUACUACAAUGGCCGGUACAGAGGGCUGCGAACUCGUGAGAGUAAGCCAAUCCCUUAAAACCGGUCUCAGUUCGGAUUGGAGUCUGCAACUCGACUCCAUGAAGGUGGAAUCGCUAGUAAUCGCGGAUCAGCAUGCCGCGGUGAAUACGUUCCCGGGCCUUGUACACACCGCCCGUCAAGCCAUGAAAGACGGCAGUGCCCGAAGUCGCUUUCCCAACCCUCGGGAGGGAUGCGCCGAAGGUAAGGCCGUUAAUUGGGGCUAAGUCGUAACAAGGUAACC
rnacentral:rRNA from 1 species